CUUAAACUUGUCCUAUGGUUUUCUACCGCAUAACAAUGUACGAAUAUUUGUUUAAGUGCUAAGUCCAUUUAAAGGUCUUUGUUGGAUUCCUAUGGAAUUUGAUAAAAAUAAUUAUCAUAGUUACUGUUGUGUCUUAAAUAAAAACUGACGUAAACUAAGCCAUCAUCUUAUGAGUUUAUCAUAUGAGGUAAUCUUAAUUUAACAAUUAAAAGGAAUUUCUGUAUUUGAAACGGUGAAUGCAACUUCUACAAGGUCAUCUAUGGAUUAUGCUGCAUGCUUGAUUAAUACAAUAUUCCUCAUUUGAAAAAAGUCAUUCUGCAUAAUUCAUCUGCAAUUACAAGUUAUAUGUUUGCCUGUUCUUUUGUGAAAGCUGUGUUACCUGGUUUGGUGUCAACAAGUUCAAAGAUGUGUUACUUACUUAAUAUUUCCGGCUUGGAUAUAUACUUGGAAAGUUACAGUUUAUUUUAUAUUUUACACAUAACAUUGCGAUAAGUCUUCGACAUGCAAGACAAACUGUCGGACGCCUUGGGGUGAGGAGAUAUAGGGCUGGUUCUACGUCAACUUAUGUAAUAAAUGAAGUGAGAAAGCUUUGCAACAGAUAGCAUAAUAUGGAAAAUGUUUAAGUCAUCAGACAGAGUGAAAGAAUCGCAAGAAAUAGCCAGGCAUAUAUUAAAGACCAUGGGUACGUUGAUGUGAUUUGAAAACGUCUGUUAUCCCCGCCAGGUGAAACCCUAACAAAGGCAACAGAAGGAUACUUUUUGCAAGUGCUCGAAAACAAACUGGAUUCAUUUGGACAAAGAAAAGUUUGAAUAGUCAAGUAACACUUUUGUUCAGUGCAAAACAAUGUACCUUAACAGGUUGUAGAUGUAUAUAUGUAAUGCUUCUUUUAGAAAUAUACAAAACUACCGUUUAGUGUCUGAAUUAUUUGUCUUCCUUGAACACUUACACUAACAUUGCAAGAGAUGCUAACGAAUAUAAAAUGUUAAAAAUAUGGUGAACAAUCUAAUUAUAAUAACUGGCUAUUUAGUAGUACCAGUAUGUUGUAUAGUUGUUUUUCUUUCAUAGAAUUUUUUUCAAAUUCACAUAUAUGUUAGGAAAAUUUGUGCUGAAAACAAUGAACAAAUAAAAACAAUGGGUCACCAGGCUUGUUUUUGUGAAAAAUUGUUUUGAAAACACCCACACUGUUGCUGAAACUGAUAGCGACUUUUCAACAUUUUCAUGAUUGUUUGCUUUUUUAUAAAUACCAACCAAAGUAUGCAUAAAGACAGAACAAUAAGGUUAAUUCUUUUUACAGAUUCUGUUAUAUACUUAUUUCAUAUUAUAGUCAUAUUUGUAAUACAAUAUCUUUAUAAUUAUGCGUACAAAUAGAAAAACAAUCUGGUUUCAUGUUCACUUUUGUGAACUUUUUUAAUGAAAAAUACUCAUAGUAAAGAACUUUUUUUUUAAUUUUGAAAAAGCUGUUUCUAGAUUUUUUUCUGUUUUCAUUGUGAAUAAACAAUUGAAUUGUGAAAAUAAAAACGGCAAAAAAGUAUGGGUCUCCGGGCUAAAUUUUAUGUUAAGGCCGCUUGAAUGCAACACCUGUGCGGACGAAAAAUGGCGCGAACCUGACCAAAUUGAUUACAUGUAUAUCUGCCAGAAGUUAGAAAGAAGUUUUAAAAUUCUUAAUUCUUUCUAUAAUUGAAUACUGAAUAAUCUUAAAGGGGAUUUUGUCUUUCAAUACAAAGUUAACUUAAAUGUCUAACAUUAUAUAAACAGCACUGUCUUCGUACUAACGUGCGCUGUCAAACACAGCCACAAAAAUGGCAAGAUACAUGUCAGGCAUGAUUGAUGUCAGUACAACAUAAACCAGUAUCAACAUUUGAUUACCGAUAAAACUUAUUAAAAAGUUGUUUUAUUCAAGAUUCCUCAUAUUUAAGAUUGUCUGUAACAUGUUUCAAGAAAUGUUGACUUCACUUCAGUUUUCCAUAGAUGGUGUCGGUUGCGCAGAAACAUGCGCAUAAAAACUACUGGAAUUCCCUUUAAAUGUGCUUUGAUUUUUCUUUUAAAUGUGAUGCUUGGAUUUUAUAGUGUUACAUGUUGCACAAAACUGUAUAAGGCAGAUAAAAAGAGACCACCGCUUAUGACUGAAAUGUUAUUCAGUAAAUAAACAAUAGAAAUUU